rnacentral:rRNA from 1 species
UACGGGGGGAGCAAGCGUUGUUCGGAUUUACUGGGCGUAAAGGGCGCGUAGGCGGUCAGCACAAGUCAAUUGUGAAAUCUCCGAGCUUAACUCGGAAAGGUCAACUGAAACUGUGCGACUAGAGUGCGGAAGGGGCAACUGGAAUUCUUGGUGUAGCGGUGAAAUGCGUAGAUAUCAGGAGGAACACCGGUGGCGAAGGCGGUUCUCUGGGCCUUACCUGACGCUGAGGAGCGAAAGCAUGGGGAGCAAACAGG